GAUGAACGCUGGCGGCGUGCCUAACACAUGCAAGUCGAGCGGAGAUCUGCGAAGUAGCAAUACCAGCGGAUCUUAGCGGCGGACGGGUGAGUAACACGUGAGUAAUCUGCCUUCUGCAGGGGAAUAACAUUGUGAAAACAGUGCUAAUACCGCAUAACAUCCGACUGGGGCAUCCCGGACGGACCAAAGGAGUAAUCCGGCAGAAGAUGAACUCGCGUCCGAUUAGCUAGUUGGGGAGGUAGUGGCUCACCAAGGCGACGAUCGGUAGCCGAACUGAGAGGUUGAUCGGCCACAUUGGGACUGAGACACGGCCCAGACUCCUACGGGAGGCAGCAGUGGGGAAUAUUGGGCAAUGGGCGCAAGCCUGACCCAGCAACGCCGCGUGAAGGACGAAGGCCUUCGGGUUGUAAACUUCUUUGAUCAGGGACGAAACAAAUGACGGUACCUGAGGAACAAGCCACGGCUAACUACGUGCCAGCAGCCGCCGUAACAC
rnacentral:rRNA from 1 species